CUCUCCAGCCUCCUAUUAUUCAUCAUGAGCUUCUACAGCCUUCCAAAGACCCUACAUCAUGAGAUUGCCACUGUUCAGGGGCGUUUCUUUUGGACCGGCGAGGGUGAUAAGCAGAAGUACCACAUGGUCAGGUGGUCUGAGAUAUGCAAACCUCGCGACCAGGGCAGACUCGUGAUCAUGUCCUCCAAAUGCAUGAACAUUGCCCUUCUGACUCGGUGGCUCUAGCGGAUUGCCAAUGGAGAUGGUGGCCUAUGGCUUUGCAUCAUUCAGCAGAAAUACCUCCGCAGCCAGCCUCUCGCCUUCUGCCAGCGAUCUGGGUGCUCCUAGUUCUGGCAAUCCAUCAUUCAGCUCCUCCCCGUCCUCUGGAUCGGGACCUCGAUCGACAUUGCUUCUAGCACCGCCACGCUGUUCUGGUUCGAUCAUUGGACUAGUGACAUGCCCCUUGCGGCCCGCUUUCUAGACCUGUUCUCCAUCAUGGUUGCCCUGCAGAUCUCUGUGGUGACCGCCCUUAUUGACUUAGGGCAGCUUGCGUUCCGGAGACCUUUUGGCCCGGCUGAGAAAGCGGACUGGCAGGAGUUGCUUGACUGUAUUGCACUCCACGAGCUUGAAGUCACGAUAGACGAUGACCGUGCCAGGGCCUUCUGGUCAAUUCUCCACCAAAUCACUCUACCUGGCCAGCGCCCCCUCGCUUGGCUAUGA
rnacentral:rRNA from 1 species